UUUCGCUUAUGAUUAUUUACUCUUUUACCUACAUUAUUUGAUGUCUGUGAUAGAAACUAUAUUAUGAAGCUCAA